rnacentral:rRNA from 1 species
AGUUUGAUUCUGGCUCAGAUUGAACGCUGGCGGCGUGCUUAACACAUGCAAGUCGCGCGUGAAAGGACUUCGGUCCGAGUAAAGCGGCGCACGGGUGAGUAACGCGUGGAUGAUCUACCCAUGAGUUAGGAAUAACGGCUGGAAACGGUCGCUAAUACCAAAUACGCUCCGAUUUCAACUUCGGGGGAAAGGUGGCCUCUGCUUGCAAGCUACUGCUCAUGGAUGAGUCCGCGUCCCAUUAGCUAGUUGGUGGGGUAACGGCCCACCAAGGCGACGAUGGGUAGCCGGUCUGAGAGGAUGACCGGCCACACUGGGACUGGAACACGGCCCAGACUCCUACGGGAGGCAGCAGUGGGGAAUAUUGCGCAAUGGGCGAAAGCCUGACGCAGCGACGCCGCGUGAGGGAAUGAAGGUCCUCGGAUCGUAAACCUCUGUCAGGAGGGAAGAACCGCCACGGUGCUAAUCAGCCGUGGUCUGACGGUACCUCCAAAGGAAGCACCGGCUAACUCCGUGCCAGCCGCGGC